rnacentral:lncRNA from 1 species
AUGAACGCAGAGAUACUUUACAUGCAAACACACACACACACACACACACACACACACACACACACACACACAAAUGCUGUUCCCAUUUCCCCCUGUCUUUCAUCUGACAAAGCGGGUAGUGACUGCGAGCUCAGAAUUGGCUGGCGGAGGUGUCUGCUGGUGUGUGGGCUCCAUUUCUGGGGCUUUAUCAAGCCCUGUCUCCGAUUUUCCCAUUUCAGACAAUCUUCCUUUGAAGACGUGGAUGACAUAGUAAAACCGAUUGCACUUGAGAGCCGAUUCCAUGACUAUUUUGCUGCAACAGCGCAUUCUGCAAAUUUCAGCUGCUUCACUAGCUUCUCCUGUUUGUUGCUGAACCGAUUAUCCUGUUCUGCACUUGUUCCGCGGAAGAAUCCCGAGUCCCAUCUUCUGCCUCGCUCGGACCUGAUAUUUGUUCUUUAUUCUCCUAAAGCGGUUAAUGAAAAAUUCACUCCCAGAAGUGAACGACUUUUACCUAGUUUGGGGCCUGUGCUCCUGAUAGAAUAUGAGGAGGACUAG